UUUCAUGCUGGAGAUGCCUGUCUACCUGAGGCCUUUUGAAGAUCUUGAAAGCCUGAAAGGAAAGGAGAACUGACAGAUCAACUCCGUCUCCAGAGUCUGCUAUUGAAAUUCACAGGACGUGGUAUGGCUUUGUAAGGAGGCCACGGGAGCAAUGUGUUGUUUAUGGAUAAGUACAUGUUGGUGUACCCCCUGCCCAAGCCAAGGACUUCUGACCAGGCAUGUGGAAGUUUGGAGGCACCUCCUCUUUGCAGUGCCUGCCCGUAACCCGCCCCUUCAUGUUAAUGCUCUGAGCUGGAGUAGAGCAAUCUGCCAAUAGCCUGCUCUUCUGCGGAGACCUGCUUGGGAGGUUGGUAGGCUGCCUCAGCCAAGGUCUUAAGGACAGAAGUCAAGAGUUGCUUCUGUAGCUGCCCAUGUCACAGCCCAGCUCUUCUUUGUGUUUGAAGCUAUUGUUUUAACCAUGAGGAUGAUGAGCAAGACAGGGCAGUGUGAGCUACCCCCAAUAUCAGGAAGGCCCAGGUAGGACAGCCCGUCCUAAAACUUCUGGGGACAACACAAAGGCAGCAUGUGAGCAUCUUCUACCAUUUGACCCUGUCAGUUUCUGUCUAUCUUGCUGCUUCCUCUUUGCUGUGCGUGCUCAAACUGGUCCAGCUCAGGCUGCCAGUUCUUAACACACCCAUAAUCAAGCAUUUUCAGGCCAUGCAGUGCUCCUUGCUCCCUCAGAGCCUGUCCGGUUUGGGUUGUUCAGCAGUUCCUGACACAACAUGGCUUUGUGUACCCUCUGUCCUUCACCCCUGCAAGAAAUUCCCAUGUUUGCAGUUCCCGUUACAGCAAAAUGUGUCACUUUGGCAUUCCUUCCCUCCACGCCCAGCACUGCUGGCUCCUUACAAUCUCUCUUUGCUGCAUUCAGACGCAGUUCUCCUCCAUUUGCUCAGGGUGCUUUAAUGGUCGGUGAAUCUGAGGGAGGAAGAGUUUCUCUUUCACAUUCAAAAUAAAAUACCUGACGUGUCUUAUGACAGCAAACAUGUGUCUCCAUACACGUGCAUCUCCAUACAGAUCACUAAAUGGCUGUUCUUUCUUCUGUUUCUGACUGCUGUGCUUGCUCUUCUGCAAAAGUAAGCAUGGGAGGACUGGGAUGUUGAGGGACUGGGUAAAGAUACAUGAGUGGCUUUGUGUUGUAUGUUACGCAUGGGGGCCUUCCAGUACUUUUCCCUAAAACCAGGUGCUGUGCUGAUGGGGCUCUCCAAUGUGAGAUACAGCACUGUGUGCAUCAGUCCUGGUGGGGAGAGCCAGGAUGCACAGCCGUCCUGCCCUGCUGGUCACUGCUGCUCUCACCGACACUGGAGGAAUGCAGGAUGUGCCUCAAAUAGACCUUUACAAAUACUCUUUGCUGCAGUCAUUUCAACCUUUCCUCGUAUUGAUAUUAGCUCUCACUGACAACUGGGGAUUGCAGUGCCUGUGACUUAGAAGAGUACAAAUUGGGUUUUUUUUCCCUCUUUGAUGCCAACAGAAAAGGGAGCAUUGGACUCGCCGUGCCGGCUCAGAUGAAAGGUUGAACAAGCCUGGGCUCCUUUCUCUGGCAGUGGCCAGGAAACAGAAGAACAAAACAAGCAGCAAGUAAUGCUUUCCCUGCUCCAUCCUCCUCACAGAGCGAGUCUUCUCAGUUCUGGCACCUGUCCUGAUGAGAUAAGGAGGAAUAACUUCAUUCGGUGGCAAGGAGAGGAGGGAGGUGCUCCCUUCAAAGUUCCUCUAAGGCAUGGGCUCUGGACAACACCGGGUUAGGUCUUCACAAAAUGAUGAAAGCAGAGGAGUAACUCCUGAGGAAGGAAAGAAAUAGCUUUUUUAAAGCUUUUAAUUUUAAAAGCAACACAAUCUGGAAGCAUCAGCGUUUGUUCCAUCUUGCCAAACCUCAAGCCUGAGUUCCCAGGAACGUUCCUCCAGAGGAAGGUGUCCAUAGGCAGGUGUUUCUUGCCAGCUGGUCUGGACCUUGGGCAGUUCCUGUGCUGUGAGUAAGCUUCCUUGGUACAGACAUGCCACAGCACCGCUAAGCUUGCAAGCACCACUUUCUGCUUCAAAGAAGUUACAAGUACCAAAUGCACCAGAGGACCCUGCCAGUUCCAUCAGCCAAAUCAGCUGCAGCCUAAGGAGGUCAGAAACAACUCAGACACACCUGGGAAUACUCAUGAAGCACUCGAGCCUAUUCACAGCUGCUCAAGGUGUCCAAUGGUCUGCAGACAUUUGAACGAUGUGUGUGAGCCAGACAGGUGUGGCUUCAGCAGCUUAGAUGCCAACAGAAACCCAGCAGGCCAGAAUCCCUCGCCCACUUCUUCAUUUGCUUGGGCCAGGAUCACCCCAGAGGCAGUCCUGUGUACGAAGGAGACCACUGUGGGUGCCACAGCUCCAAUGCUCCCUGUCCCAGGCACCCUGCCCACCCUGGGAACAGCAUCUUCCAGCCCGUGUGCACAGGGGUGGGAUGCUUGUAGAAUGUUUGUUUCAUAGGACAGGGUAUAUCUGUUUUUUAGAACUGGAUGCUUCUCAAGUGCUGUUAAGAGACUGCAACUUGUGGUGCUCGGAAUCGUUGGCCGUUGUUAUGUAGGCACACAUUUCUCCUUGGUUGGUUUGACUUCCCAGCUGGGCAUUCAGGCUGGGUGUUACAUCACUUUCUUUUGCUAUGAGU
ensembl:lncRNA